rnacentral:lncRNA from 1 species
GGAAUUCCAAAGAUCUUGCUCAUUAUUUUUCUCUUCUCAAAACGUCAGUCAAGUGCCGAUUCCAUCCCACCCCUGUUAAGAGGCAAGGUUAAGCAGGUGAACGACCAGGUCUCGGUGGUCUGCAAGGGAGGUGAUGAUGGUGGUUGUUCUGCUUCUUCAAUUCAAAAUACACAAUAAAGACAAGAUUCUAUUCUUUUACUGCCGAUGCACUUCGAUGCGAACAAGAACGUGGUUCUGGAAAUAAAGAAAAGUGAUGAUUCUGAAGAGACAUUGCUUGAAAACAAAAGGCUUGUGGUGGAGGCAGUAGAAAAGCUGGUAAAACGGAAGAAGAGAUAUUGAUUCACAUGUUUCAACUAUUUAAAUUGAAUGUCAAAGGAUGAGCCAACCGCACUUGAUAUAAAAAAGGACCCUGAAAGCAUGUGAGAUGAUGAAGAUUGUAUAAAAGAUUCAUGGGAAGAUGAAGAUGAACCCUCUCUGUGGUAGCACCUCCUGUUGUGAAGGCCCUAAAGAAGUCAACAGUCAAACCGGCUCCAAGAAAAAGGGAUACCUGUUGUUGAAGUAGCAAAAGAGGUGCCAUUAAAUCCUUAAACAAGCUUUGUAUUUCAGGCUCGAGCUCGGGCUCAAUAACUAAAUGAAUAUGGAAGUAUAAAUGGCUUCAUAAAGUUUUGGAUUUAAUAUGUUGAUCGACUGUGCUCAGCGACUGUGGUUUCUUGACACAUACACUGGAGGAUACAGAGUUCAUCGCGAUAUAAAGGUACUCAGUAGAGUUUUCGACCAGUCGGAAACCGCAAAUGCUCUACUUGGUUGGCCAUAAUUUGGUUGUUUUGCGUCAGUUUGUUUUGUCCCUUCGUAACUUGGCAAGGGUUUGAUCCGUAUAGGGAUUGUCGGAUCCAACUGGUAUAACACUUGAUCCACUAAUUUAAUGCAUUGACCCAUAUAAGUUGGUUAAUUCUUGGAUCGUUCCACUAAAAAAGUUGUCUUCAUAAUUUCUUGCAAUAUUUCUACCCGCCAUAUUACAGGUGCAGGCAACAAAGAUUAUGGGAGUCAUAAAGGCGAUUAUUUUCUCUGGAUCAAAACAAGGGCGGGAUAUGCAGAUCUGGAAUGGGAUAAAUGGAGAACUUUAAUUUCAGCAAUUUCCCGAUGUGGAACAGAAUAUUGGGUUUGUGCAGAAGAAAAGGGAUGAUGUGGCAUUUUUAGUUUUUCACCGAAAGACCAUGAGUCUGUUGAUCAAUUUUCACUUAAGAACUUUUUUUUUUUACAGUAAUUCUUAUGUAUUAGCUUUGUGUUUUAACCACUUCACACAACACAACAUUUGAUGACAUUUUUCAUGAUAGUUUAACCAUGGACUGGUCAAAACGCCCGAAAGCAUU